UGAAUUAACUUAAUUUAGCAAUAGUGAAGCUUAUUUAUAAUAUUGUAUUUAAAUUGUAAAAUGACUAAUAGGAAACAGUUAUACAAGAUUUCUAUAUUUUCUAGAAAUAACCUAUGUUUCCUGGGAACACCUACAAAUAGAAAGCGACAAACAAGACGGUUAAAGGCCACAAAAUGGGAACCAACAAAAUUAAAAUAUUACAACUACUUAUGAAGCUACUUGAAACUAGUGGUUUUCAGAUCUUCCCACUAUGGUGGUUGGAGUGUUUGGUUUUACCACAACCAUCAAAACUCAUCUACAAGUCAUUAUGUUUUCUGUAAAUAUUAAUUAUUUGAACAUAUAACUUUUGUGUGAAAAGAAACUAACAUACACUUGGUAUUACAGUUGAGUGUUUUAGACAUCCAUAACCAGUAGAAGUUGUCUGUAAUUUGGUAGUAUGC